GGACCUGUUGUCGCGCCAGCGGCAUAGCAGGGUAGCUAAGUACGGACGGGAUAACCGCUGAAAGCAUCUAAGCGGGAAGCCUCCCUCAAAACUAGUUCUCCCAUGAGAGUCGUGGAAGACUACCACGUUGAUAGGCCAGGUGUGGAAGUGCGGUAACGCAUGAAGCUAACUGGUACUAAUAACUCGAUUGACUUAAUCGA
rnacentral:ncRNA from 1 species